UACGAGGGGGGCGAGCGUUGUUCGGAAUUAUUGGGCGUAAAGGGUGCGUAGGCGGUUUUGUAAGUCUUAUGUGAAAUCUCCGGGCUUAACUCGGAAAGGUCAACUGAUACUGUGCGACUAGAGUGCAGAAGGGGCAACUGGAAUUCUCGGUGUAGCGGUGAAAUGCGUAGAUAUCGAGAGGAACACCUGCGGCGAAGGCGGGUUGCUGGGCUGACACUGACGCUGAGGCGCGAAAGCCAGGGGAGCGAACGGG
rnacentral:rRNA from 1 species